rnacentral:lncRNA from 1 species
UGUAAUUAGGUCAGUGUAAGUUAAAGUAGGGCUGAGAGAUGAAUAAAGUAGAUUUUCUCCUCUAGAACACACUGCAGUUUAAUUUCACUUCUUUCUACAGUGUGCGAUGAAGGUGGACUUAACUUUUAAAGGCAAAGAGACAAACCACUGCCAGGAUAAAUGAGAAGACGCAGAGGGGGCAACUGGCACCACACAGGAGAGGAAAUGCUUUCUGGCUGGUUCCUAAUUUUCAUAUCCGGGUUAUCGUCAGAAAUCAUUUUCAGAGGCCAAAAGCUAUCGUCAAGUGAACACCGAGCAAGAAUUCAGAACAAUAACUUAUGUGGAGGUGAUCUAAAAAUGCGGCUCACUGGUUUGAUCAUUGACUUAUGGUCAGCUAGUUUGCAUCUAUAGACCUGUCCUCCCUGCUAGGAAAUAGUGCCACUCACAAUGGAAUGGACCCUCCCACAUUAGUCAUCACUCAAUGCAGUCUCUCAUGAGCAUGGCCACAGACACAUCAGGUCUGGUAACCUCUCACUGAGAGUCUUUUAGAUGCCUCUAGGGUGUGCCAAUUUAGCAGCUGAAGUGAACUAGGACUCUUCACAAUAUUUUGCUAUAUGAACAUCAAAUUAAUGGCCAUCAUUGGGAAGAGAUGCCCCUUGGUCUUGCAAACUUUAUAUGCCCCAGUACAGGGGAAUGCCAGGGCCAAGAAUUGGGAGUAGGUGGGUGGAGGAAAGCUGAAAAAUGAUGGACAAGGAAAGUCGAGAAAGAGGAAGACAUUAACUGAGCGUCCUGUCCACACAGCUGCCAGGAAGGGUUUCAUCAUCAUCCUGGCACACAGGAGUAAGUUCCCAAGUCCUAUCAGGAGCCAUGUGAGUGGAUAUCUUCAAAGAGCACAUUGGAUACAACCUGGUAUCUCAGUGUCAGGACUAUAAAAGUAUGACAAUUUUUUCAAAGCAAUGAUUUGUAAUUACUAGAAUAUUGUCUUACAGUGACACAUGUAAGCAUGCUUUAAAAUGCAUACAAGUUUCAAUAAAGACCAAAGCUUUGCUAACACAAUAGAAGAAGAAGUCUUACAGUCUGCCUCCACUGCCUUUUGUGUGUACCAUGAGCAAGUCUUUCCCUUUUUGGAAAAUAUGCUCAACAUAACUACAUUUGCAUC